rnacentral:sRNA from 1 species
GCCAGGCAUGGAGGCACAUGCCUGUAAUCCCAGCAACUCGGGAAGCUGAGUCAGGAGGAUUACAAGUUCAAAGUCAGCCUCAGCAAAUUUAGAAAGGUCCUAAGCAACUUAGUAAGACCCUUUCUCAA